AUGAAGAUUGAUUGCUUGAGGCGAGCCUAUCUUUGGGCUGGCUCUGACAAGGUGUCUGGUGGUAAAUGCAAAAUCAAUUGGGAGCAAGUGUGCAAACCCAAGGAGUUUGGAGGACUAGGAAUUCUUAACCUUGCCAAGUUUGCUACUACGCUCCGUUUGUGAUGGCUUUGGCUUGAAUGGAAUGCCACUCCAAGAGCUUGGUGCGGCAUGGAGACGCCGUGCAACAAGGACGACAUGGACCUCUUCGCGGCAGCUACUAAGGUUACUAUUGGUGAUGGGACAAUUUCAAAAUUCUGGGAAUCAUCUUGGCUAGAGGGGUUGAGGCCCAAAGAUAUUGCACCAAAAAACUUUGAGAUUUCAAGGAAAAAAGGGGGCCACAGUGAGCAAGGCGAUUGGGGAUAA
rnacentral:rRNA from 1 species